rnacentral:rRNA from 1 species
GUAGUCCACGCCGUAAACGAUGGAUGCUUGUUGUUGGAAGUGUUAACCCUUACAGUAACGAAGCUAACGCGUUAAGCAUCCCGCCUGGGGAGUACGGUCGCAAGAUUAAAACUCAAAGAAAUUGACGGGGACCCGCACAAGCAGUGGAGCAUGUGGUUCAAUUCGACGCAACGCGAAGAACCUUAUCCUGGUCUUGACAUCCUUCGACAACCGGCGAAAGUCGGCUUUCCCUUCGGGGACGGAGAGACAGGUGCUGCAUGGCUGUCGUCAGCUCGUGUCGUGAGAUGUUGGGUUAAGUCCCGUAACGAGCGCAACCCACGCCUCUUGUUGCCAUCAUUAAGUUGGGCACUCUAGAGGGACUGCUAGCGUUAAGCUGGA